UUACCGAAUGGUCUGAUCAGCCGGUCACUUUUGAAAUCCCAGAUCAAAAUCAAACAUUUCCAAAAUUCAAACCAUGGGGUUUCUCAGCAACCAAACACUACUUCCACGACACAAUAUCCGAGAUUCUCUUCCAACCUCAAUUUAUAAACUUCUGAAAACACAAAACUCCUUUAACCUCCAUGUAAAAACACAACAUACCAUGAAAUCACCCUUGGAAAACUGAAAACAUCUAAAACUG
rnacentral:lncRNA from 1 species